CCUACGGGCGGCUGCAGUAGGGAAUAUUGCACAAUGGGCGCAAGCCUGAUGCAGCCAUGCCGCGUGUGUGAAGAAGGCCUUCGGGUUGUAAAGCACUUUCAGCGGGGAGGAAGGCGGUGAGGUUAAUAACCUCAUCGAUUGACGUUACCCGCAGAAGAAGCACCGGCUAACUCCGUGCCAGCAGCCGCGGUAAUACGGAGGGUGCAAGCGUUAAUCGGAAUUACUGGGCGUAAAGCGCACGCAGGCGGUCUGUCAAGUCGGAUGUGAAAUCCCCGGGCUCAACCUGGGAACUGCAUUUGAAACUGGCAGGCUAGAGUCUUGUAGAGGGGGGUAGAAUUCCAGGUGUAGCGGUGAAAUGCGUAGAGAUCUGGAGGAAUACCGGUGGCGAAGGCGGCCCCCUGGACAAAGACUGACGCUCAGGUGCGAAAGCGUGGGGAGCAAACAGGAUUAGAUACCCCGGUAGUC
rnacentral:rRNA from 1 species